rnacentral:rRNA from 1 species
AACGAACGCUGGCGGCAGGCCUAACACAUGCAAGUCGAACGCCCUAGCAAUAGGGAGUGGCAGACGGGUGAGUAACACGUGGGAACCUUCCCUAUAGUACGGAAUAGCCCAGGGAAACUUGGAGUAAUACCGUAUACGACCGAGAGGGGAAAGAUUUAACGCGAUAGGAUGGGCCCGCGUCGGGUUAGCUAGCUGGGGAGGGAAUGGCUAACGAAGGCAACGAUCCGUAGCUGGUUUGAGAGAAUGACCAGCCACACUGGGACUGAGACACGGCCCAGACUCCUACGGGAGGCAGCAGUGGGGAAUCUUGGACAAUGGGCGCAAGCCUGAUCCAGCCAUGCCGCGUGAGUGAUGAAGGCCUUAGGGUUGUAAAGCUCUUUUGUCGGGGACGAUAAUGACGGUACCCGAAGAAUAAGUCCCGGCUAACUUCGUGCCAGCUGCCGCCGUAAGAC